rnacentral:rRNA from 1 species
UACGUAGGGGGCUAGCGUUGCUCGGAAUCACUGGGCGUAAAGCGCUCGUAGGCGGAUUGCUAAGUCAGGGGUGAAAUCCUGGAGCUCAACUCCAGAACUGCCUUUGAUACUGGCGAUCUUGAGUCCGGGAGAGGUGAGUGGAACUGCGAGUGUAGAGGUGAAAUGCGUAGAUAUUCGCAAGAACACCAGUGGCGAAGGCGGCUCACUGGGCCGGUACUGACGCUGAGGUGCGAAAGCGUGGGGAGCAAACAGG